UUUUAGGUUGCGUUAGGGGUUGUAGCGGCAUCCUUUUGCUAUAAACGACUUAUGGUAUUUUGCAGGAUGCUACCCUAGCAAAAGAUAUAGCGAAAAACCCGACCCGCA
rnacentral:sRNA from 1 species